CGGGGGAUUGCCUUAGUUACGGCGAGUGAAGCGGCAAAAGCUCAAAUUUGAAAUCUGGCACCUUCGGUGUCCGAGUUGUAAUUUGAAGAAGCUACUUUGGGGCUAGUCCUUGUCUAUGUUCCUUGGAACAGGACGUCAUGGAGGGUGAGAAUCCCGUAUGGCGAGGAGUCUAGUCCUAUGUAAAGUGCUUUCGACGAGUCGAGUUGUUUGGGAAUGCAGCUCUAAGUGGGUGGUAAAUUCCAUCUAAAGCUAAAUAUUGGCGAGAGACCGAUAGCGAACAAGUACAGUGAUGGAAAGAUGAAAAGAACUUUGAAAAGAGAGUGAAAAAGUACGUGAAAUUGUUGAAAGGGAAGGGCAUUUGAUCAGACAUGGUGUUUUGCGACCCUCGCUCCUUGUGGGUGGGGAUCUCGCAGCUCACUGGGCCAACAUCAGUUUUGGCGGUAGGAUAAAUCUUUGGGAACGUGGCUUGUCUUCGGAGAAGCGUUAUAGCCCAGGGGAAUACUGCCAGCCGGGACUGAGGACUGCGACUUUUGUCAAGGAUGUUGGCAUAAUGGUUAAAUGCCGCCCGUCUUGAACCACGGACCAAA
rnacentral:rRNA from 1 species